AUUGAACGCUGGCGGCAUGCCUUACACAUGCAAGUGGAACGGUAACGGCUCCUUCGUGCUGCCGACGAGUGGCGAACGGGUGAGUAAUAUAUCGGAACGUGCCCCGUAGUGGGGGAUAACUGCUCUAAAGAGCAGCCAAUACGGCAUACGACCUGAGGGUGAAAGGGGGUGAUCGUUAGACCUCUCGCUAUUGGAGCUGCCGAUAUCAGGAUAGCUAGUUGGUGGGGUAAAGGGAUACCAAGGCAACGAUCUGUAGUUGGUCUGAGAGGACGACCAGCCACACUGGGACUGAGACACGGCGCAGACUCCUACGGGAGGCAGCAGUGGGGAAUUUUGGACAAUGGGCGCAAGCCUGAUCCAGCAAUGCCGCGUGCAGGAAGAAGGCCUUCGGGUUGUAAAGCCCUUUUGUUGGGAAAGAAAUCCAGCUGGUUAAUACCCGGUUGGGAUGACGGUACCCAAAGAAUAAGCACCGGCUAACUUCGUGCCAGCCGCCGCCGUAA
rnacentral:rRNA from 1 species